rnacentral:lncRNA from 1 species
UGCAUAAAAUUCGUAGAAAAUUAUCACCCAUUACUUCUAGUGUUGUUCCUUACUGUUUUAAGUAUUUUUUUUAAGCUGUUUUGGAGUAUUUCAGUGUGUUUUGACAUAAAAUCCGAAAAUUCAUAAAAUUUGAAAAAUUGUUUUUGAAAUCUCAAAAGAGUUGUUUUGUGUGCUUAUUUGUGUCUUAGGGUACCUUCCAACACAAUGAUGAGGAUUCAGUUUGUAAUUGCAUG